UGAUCUCAUUCUGUACUAAUACAUUUUAUUUUAAAAGGUUUUCCGUUUGAAAAAUAAAAGAACAUGGUUUUACCUUCUUCAACACCGUUUCCACCCACUGGAAAGAAGGCAAAAGCCUCGCCGGAAUACAACUUUCCGGUUAUUGAUUUCUCUACACACGACCGGUCAAAACUAUCGGAGAAGAUUGUUAAAGCAUGCGAGGUUAAUGGAUUUUUUAAGGUGAUAAACCAUGGAGUUAGACCAGAGAUAAUCUCGAGAUUUGAGCAUGAAGGUGAAGAGUUCUUUAAUAAACCAGAAUCUGAGAAGCUACGAGCCGGUCCGGCGAGUCCAUUCGGUUACGGAUGCAAGAACAUCGGGUUCAAUGGAGAUUUGGGUGAGCUUGAGUAUCUUCUUCUCCACGCAAACUCGACGUCUGUCGCUGAUAAAUCUGAAACUAUCUCACAUGAUGAUCCCUUCAAGUUCAGGUGCGUAUUACAAAUCUUGUUUGUUCUUUGUAUUUAUUGGUUGAUUCUUCAAACUACAUUAAAUUAUAAAGCUACAAAGUUUUUUCUUUGAAUAUUUAUUGGUGACUGAACCUAUACCGUACGUAUUGAAAGAUUAGCAUAUAUGAAUUCAUGUGUAGUCGCAUAAAGAUGCCCGAGUAAACUAACAACUAUGAAGCUGCCAGUCUUCGUUGCGUCUACAAAAUUAUUUUUUUUGAUAUUCUAUCUGUUCCUAUUUGUGUGUAUCAAAGUUGACCGAACUGAAAAUUGAUACUAUGGAUUACGUGACAAUGUAACUAUUGACUUGUGAGCUACAUAAAAAGAGAGAGAAAGAGAUGCAAUGUCGGCUAUUGGAUAUAAUGACCAUAAGACACGGCUUUCAAUUAUUAUCAGUCUUUGCUCCUUUAUUGUCAUUAUAGUUGCCCAUAUUAUAUAGUUUAUAUUUAAAUUAAUACAAUUAAAUAGUCAUACCAACCCAAUGCCGGUUCACCUGAUAAUUUGUUGUAAUCAUUACUCUACAACAGUUGGAUUUAGUUCUCGGUUCAUAGUAUAUUGGUAUGUGAUUACAAUUAGGAUAACAGCCAUUUUUUUCAUAAAUCAAGCUAAUUAAAUUAUCAAAAAUGCGAAAGUGCUUUUGCAACCCUGACUGUGACAUGGUUGGUGAAUUAAAAUAUUUUUCUAAUUUUUUAUCUCUAAUUUGGUGGCAUUGUCCACCUUUUUAAUAUAUACUUAAUUCAAUUUUUUGGUUGGAGUCACUUUUAAAUAUCAUUCAUGGAUUUCUUGUUAGUACUCACGUUACAUUAUAUUAAAUAAUGUAUAAGAAUUUUUUUUUUGUCAAUUUUAAAAGAAAUAUAUUUUUAAUUAUAUAUAUUAAUAGAAUGCAUUUUAUUGGUUGAAGUAUGUUUGACAGAUAACAAAAAAAUGUUAAAUAGAAAAUAAAAAUAGAGUAAAUAUUACUAUUAGUUAGUCUUUCUGAACACGUCACAAUAAUUGAAUAGACUUGGUCAAUGAAUGGAAGAUUGUGCAUGAACACAAAAACACUUUGAGACGUCAAAGAAUCAAGAUUCGAAACGUCAAUGAAUCGAAUAUUUGACUUGUUAUUUAUUUCUCUUGGUCAAUUUAAAGAAAUGGCAAGUUGUAAAAAGAAAAGAAUCGUGGGUCCUCGUUUUCGAACAUUCCUCUGCAUAAUCUCAUGAGCGUGUUAGCUGACUGCCACGUCUUUUUUUCCUUUUGUAGUUCGGCCACGAAUGAUUACAUACGCGCCGUUAAAGGUCUAGCAUGUGAGAUAAUUGAUCUGACGGCGGAGAAUUUGUGGGGCCAGAGAUCUAGCGAGGUGAGCGAGCUUAUCAGAGACGUCCGUAGCGACUCAAUCCUGCGGCUGAAUCUAUAUCCACCUGCACCGUACGCGCUAAGAGGCGUUAGCCAAAUAGGUUUCGGCGAGCAUUCUGACCCUCAGAUCUUGACGGUGUUGAGAUCCAACGACGUAGAUGGACUUGAGAUUUGUUCACAAGACGGUUUGUGGGUACCAGUCCCAUCUGACCCUACAUGCUUCUACGUAUUGGUCGGUGACUGCCUUCAGGUAAAUCCAUUUAAUCAAAAAACUGUAAAAGAAUAUUUGAUAGUUGUUUUUGUUUUUUAUAAGAAAAUCCUAAACAAAAGAAAUUUAUAUCAUAUUUUUAAGUCCUAACCAAAAGAUAAUUGUAAAAAUUUAUUUGAUAAUAUUUUUAAGAGAGUAUUUGAUGAUGAACAUGAUAUUAAAAGUUCUUUAAUUAACAAAAAAUAUAAAAUUAGUAUUAAUACGAAUUUUAAAACUAUAUAUUAAUAACUAAAAAUAAUUACUUGAUAGCAAUUUUUUUUUUCUGAAAUUCUAAAGAGAAGUAAUCGUUAUAUAUGACAGUAAUUUUCCUUUUCUAAAAUCUUAAACAAAAUUGUAAAAAAGUAUUUAAUUUAUUUUUUAUUUUUUAUUGUAAAUAGAAAGAGAUUUAUAAAAUAAAAUGUUUUCCUUUUUUAAAAAAUCCUAGCAAAAUAAAACUCUAAAUACUUAUUUAAUAAAACAUUAAAUUAGUACAUAAAAAAUGUAUAAUGUUGUCAUUAACUCGAUUUGUGUAUUUGACUUUCAUUUCUUUUUACUUUUCAUUCAAUUUCUUAUUUCAGGUUGUGUUCAGUUUAAACGUUUAGGUAUAGUAUUUUCUCUAAUCCUAUGUACAAAGCUUAUAACAAUUCAUAUAUGCACCAUGAUUAUAAAAUACAAAUAUUAACUUGAACUUAUAUGUGAAAACGAGUUUUAAUUAUAAAAUAAAUCUCAAACAACAUAUGCAAAAAACAAUCAUAAAACUAUAAUAAAAUGAUUUAUUCUUUUAUGAUUUUUAUUAAAUUAAAACAUCAAACAAAACCCGUUGCAACGCAACAGGCUCAUAUCUUGUUUAUAUAAUAAAACAUAGGUAUAGUAGAUUGAAACAGUGGGAGCAAAAGCUGAGAAAAGUGAAACUGAAAAUAAAACUUUCUUUUUCACAUAUUAAUCUAUUUUUACUUUUCUUCAGCGUUAAUGGGCUGAAAACAUUUUCCUUUUGAUUAGAUAAAAAUUUAGAAUAAUUCAGUAGAAAACAAAUUUACUUCAGUAUAUUAUUGAUAGAAGUGCGAUCCAGACUUCCGGGUUAAGCCAUCACUUGAAGAAAUAAAAUUUGAUAUCACGAGGAACAUAUAUGCAUAGUUCAUUUUGUAUUUUUUUUUUUUUUUGGUAACUCUGGUAUCUGGGCAGCCACAUUCCCAAUUAUCCCCCCGUAGGGGUCCAGCGCCCUAACGGAAGGGAUGUUAAAUCCGCUGUGGCUAGGGCUCGAACUCGUGAUGGCGGGCACCUCAGCCGAGGUUCCUAUACCACCAGACCACGAGGCCCGGUUUGCCCUAAUCAUAUUAUCAUGUUACAAUAUUACAAAUCCAUUUAAUAAUAAAAUUUUAUUAAAAUACAAAACCUAAAUCAGGAUUUCUAAUCGAUUAUGGAUUCUAUCAUCGAACUAAUUUAUAUCUUAACCCACUAAGUUUCCUUUACACAGAUUUAACCGGUGUGAUCCAUUUAAUAGAUAAAGGUUGAUGCAAAACUGGUAUCGUUUUUAACGAGUGAAUGUCUAGCACGAGAAGAUAGAAUUAAUGUCGGAUAUCCACAUUGUUGGUAUUUUUUUUGUUGUAUCUUGUCUUAAAACUCUAUGCACCUGUAUGCCUUUUUUGUUUAGGAAUUUUAGUUUUUCUAGAUAAGUAUGUAUUCAUAUAGAGAAAAAAUCGGGUUUUGAAACUGAUAUAAAUACGGGUCUAAGGAUUUAUAAGAUGAUUUAUUCACAUAAUAAUAAAAAAUUCUAAACGGAAAUUUGCCUCAAUUCAUUUUUGAUUUUUUUUUUUGCUUUUUUCAAAGUUGAUUUGCGUUUGUUCUCAACAGGAGGCUAAGAAAUUAUACACAUCAUAUUAAUCGACCUCCCAUCUGAAGUAGUUGAAUGUGACUUCAAUGAACCCACAAUCUAUCCGAACAAUGAAGCUCACGAAAAGGGAUUAACGGAAAAGGUCCAAACAACCGUAAAUACUUAGGCUCGGGGAGUACCGACAAUGCUCAUAUCACACCAUCAAUGAUCGACACGACGUAAAAAAGCCAAUAAUCAUAUGGUAUUCACUUGAAAUUAAGGGAAUCUUGUAACUUUCAUUCUCGAUCCGAUUAAUUUAAUUUUUGAAGUGAACUAAUUACGUGAAUAGUAAAUACCAAGAAUUUUAUGAAUAUAUAAAGUGUGUUUUAUAAUAUAAUUGUAUAUAUGUGUCAAAUUCUUAUUGACAUUGGCGGUCAUAUCAUGUUCUUCUAUUACCCACAUUAAUUUCAUGACACUAUGUCGGACACAUACUGUUGACUAUAUAUGUCUUCUUGUCUCAAAGUAUUUUUAAUAGUAAUAGUAUAAAAUAAGAAUUUAUUCCAUCUUUAAGAAGAGAGAAAAUAGCGUUUCAACGACCAAAAAUAUUCCAACGGCCGUUUGCUCACCCCAUUCCCACGCAUGUGCCAUCCCAUUUGCCUUUUGUAGUUUAUGUCGUCUGUUGUUUUCCAUCUAUAUACAUGCCACAAUUCAAUUAAUUUAGUUACAGUCAUAAGACAACAUUUUCAACUGCAUUGUUCACACAAUCAUAGUUCAUCUUCCAACAUCUUACCCCAAAUUACGGUUUAAGAAACCCAUUUAAUUACUAUUAAUUUCUCAAUGCAUGCUGCAUGCUGCAUGAUGCAUGCAGGUUCUUCUUAGUAUGUAAUAUUAUAGUAUUACAAAGAUAAUCAUUUUAACUCUAAUAUGCUUUAUCACAUCGCAGUAGUCCGAUGGUUUUGUUAAUAGGAGUACUUCAUUACACAUAAUUUACCAAUCCUGAUAUUUAAAAUUUUAUUUCAUAAUUAGAAAACAUUCAAAUUUAAAAGUAGAAAUAUAUUAAUUGGUUGUCUAGGAGAUGGGUGACCAACUGCCCACUUUAAGCUCAGAAUUAAUUUAAGAUAUGCGUAUUUAUACGUUAAACAAAUGUGCAUAAUACUGUUCUAAAAAAUGGUUAGGUUUGAUAACCGAUAUGUAUGUUUCAUUCAUGGGAUAAUGUCGGCUAAUAUGUCAGAUGCCAUGUUCCAUUGAUCCAGCCUGCCUCUGGUCAACUUUUCUACGGCCCAUCCUUCCUUUAUAUUAUUAGUAUAUACAGUAUAAUUUCUUUAAAUUAAUACUUUAUAAAUUAAUAUACAUUAAAAAUCUCUAUAAAAUAAUAUAAUUUUAUAGUCUCAAAUCGAAUUUUUGGUUCGAUUAGUAUAUCGAUAAAUUAAUAUCUUUAUAAAUUAAUAAAAAAAUUAUUGUUUUGUUGUAGUCUCAACAUUAUUAAUUUAUAGAGGUUUCACUGUAUUUAAAUAGUUAAAUGAAAUGAAAUGAUUCGAAAUUAUUCAUUAACGUUUUACCGUGAACCUAAUCAACUAGCAUCAAAAACAGCAUUUUGAAAACGUUGAUUUGUUUAAUAUGUGACAUAAUAGAUUUUUUUUUUGUCAUUGAAAAUUUGAAAUAAACUUCAAAGUUUCCGUUUUCACGGCAUAAGGGUACCAAAAUUUAUAAAGAAAACCACAAGUUGCAACCAAUAGGUGCUGAAAUAAGAAAAACAGAGCUUCUGUAAGCUGUUUCCGAAGAUGAGAACGGCUUAGUGACUGAGGACGCCUUGCUAGGCACACCAACAUGUAUUAGUGCAUUCUGAUCCUCUUUUUAAGCCAAGCAGGCUACGUCGAGUUGAAUGCGCAUAUUAGAUUAAACGACGAAAUUUUAACACAGAGAGUCGACUCUUUAUAAUGUCAUAUAUUUGAUGGAUUGUUUACAUUUUAUUUAUCUAUCGGCUAAAUAUGAUAAUUUUUUCGUUGCAUAUAAAUGAACCAACCAUUUUCUGAAAAAUAUAAAAAUAAUGAAGCAAAUAUCAAAACGUCUUUUAUUAGUAGAUGGUGUCACAAUAGAUAGUAAUAAAUAAUACAGUAAAUGGGUAGGUACAAGGUAUUGUGAUACAGAGUUGGAAUUUUUUUUCUGACAAAUAUGGGAAUGAAAACAGAUUCUUUAGUUAAUCGGACGGCUAAUAGGAGCCGUCAAGGUUGACCAUCUCCACUACGUGCCGACAUAUCGGCCUUACACAUGACCACCCAUUCUCACAGUUCCCACUUUCUUGUGACCCUUUUCCAAGGUCUUUCACCAGAGAAACUCUCCAUUUUGCAAAUUGUAAAAUAUACCAAUAUAUCUUUAUUUAAUACAUGAUUAACUAAAUGAAAAUGAUUUAGAUAAAAAUUAACUUCAUCCAAAAAAUAAAAAAUAAAUUUAAUAUAUAACAUUAAAUUUGAAAUAUAGAAUAAUACUUUUUGAAACAGAAUUUUUUUUUUAAAGGGAUACUCUUUAUGAAACAAAAGGAAUACUAUCAUUUUAAAAAGGUUUAUCUAUCGUGUCGAGUGAUAAAUUUUGAAUCUUAUACAUCAACCAUGACUGAAGGUCUUUUUUAAAACAAAUAUGAUCGAAGGUAUUUGCAAGAUACAUGUGAAUAAAACUAUUGAUUGUUACUAACUUCUGCCUAACUUAUUUACUUCUCGAUAUAAAACAUCUUUGAUCGAGCUACAAAUAUUUAUCGACAAUCUUAAUCACCAACUGCUAAUUUAUACUUUUUUUUGUAAAAUAAUUUAUGCUUUAUUCAUACAGAUAUUUUGUUAUGCAUUUAAUAAGAAAACACUAUUAAAUAUACGCGAGUCUUAUGACUAACAAAACACGUAAUUUUAGGCAAUAAGUGCUCAGUCUUUAGAUUAUUUUAAGAAGUAAACAUCGACAUCUACUAGUUUGCUUUCACCAAAUUCCAAUCUACCCGAAUUUAAUAAUAACAAGUUGUGAAACAAAUAAUACAAAUAAUAAAAAGAGAAAAAUAAUAUAUUUCAAGUUUACCUAACCCGGAAAAAAAAUUAAGCUGAUUAUAUGGUUAAUUUUAUAUAACACCUUCGUACAAAAAAUAAAUCAAUUUUGAGGGAGAUAAAUAAGAAUAAUCUCAUAAAUAGGCAAGCUUUAAUUAUCUUGGCAAUAAUUUGGUUUUUCAACUCGACCGUCCCCAUCGAUGGCAUGCCCACCUUACGCGAUAUGUUGAUGAGGCGAUUACUUUAAUUUCCCCCAGUUGUCAACCGUAUGGAAACAGUAGCAUUAAAAAUUAAAUCCGAAAAAGACUAAUAAAAUUACUUUUAUUAUAUCCAAACUCUACCUUUCAUCUUCCCAUAAAGGCAUACACUAUAUAUAAUACUGUCCUCCUCUCUUGUUCUUUCAUAAUCAAAAUCUCCUGAUCUCAUUCUGUACUAAUACAUUUUAUUUUAAAAGGUUUUCCGUUUGAAAAAUAAAAGAACAUGGUUUUACCUUCUUCAACACCGUUUCCACCCACUGGAAAGAAGGCAAAAGCCUCGCCGGAAUAUAACUUUCCGGUUAUUGAUUUCUCUACACAUGACCGGUCAAAACUAUCGGAGAAGAUUGUUAAAGCAUGCGAGGUUAAUGGAUUUUUUAAGGUG
rnacentral:lncRNA from 1 species